CGGAUGGCGUCAGAAAUUUAAAAACUAUAGUCCUUAACUUUCAACAGAGCCAUCAGGAGUCUCAUGCCAGGGAGCCUGAACGUAUACUUCCUGGGACUGACAUCAGGACAAUGCGAAGGAGCCUCAAAAGAUGAACAGAGGCGGGAUGCUGGAGUCAAGUCUGCAAGAGACCCACUCAGAGGAGCCUGUAAACGUUGACUUUGUGUGGAAUUGGCUUGUCCUAACAUCAUCCAUCACUGUAGACCCUAAUUCAUUGGAUUGAAUGGCUUUUUUUUUUUUUUGCAAAGAAAUACUUGCAGUAAUAUUUGCUUUGCAUCUUGGGAAUCAUAUG
rnacentral:lncRNA from 1 species